UUUGCUGCACCCAUCAACCCGUCAUCUACAUUAGGUAUUUCUCCUAAUGCUAUCCCUCCUGUAGCCCCCCACCCCCUGACAGGCCCCGGUGUGUGAUGUUCCCCUCUUUCUGCCCAUGUGUUCUCAUUGUUCAACUCCCACUUAUGAGUGAGAACAUGUGGUGUUUGGUUUUAUGUUCCUGUGUUAGUUUGCUGAGAAUGAUGGUUUCCAGAUUCAUCCAUGUCCCUGCAAAGGACAUGAACUCAUUCUUUUUUAUGGCUGCGUAGUAUUCCAUGGUGCAUAUGUGCCACAUUUUCUUUAUCCAGUCUAUCAUUGAUGGGCAUUUGGGUUGGUUCCAAGUCUUUGCUAUUGUGAAUAUUGCUGCAAUAAACAUACGUGUGCAUGUGUCUUUAUAGUAGAAUGAUUUAUAAUCCUUUGGGUAUACACCCAGCAAUGGGAUGGCUGGGUCAAAUGGUAUUUCUGGUUCUAGAUCCUUGAGGAAUAAUCAAAACCACAAUUAGAUACCAUCUCACGCCAGUUAAAUUAGUCCUCUUUAUAUUUUAAGAAAACAUUUGUUUUGCCCUGUGAGUGUUGUUGGAUUGCACAUAUUCAGAUUAUCAUGAGAUAUUCCCAUCUGCUGUAGUAAACGUGGAAAUUUUGAAGGUGUCUGACAAUAGUUUUGGUCCUGGAGUACUAAAAGUAUCCAGAUAGAGUUCAUGUUUUCCAUAGUGAUAAAUGCAACCAAAGCUAUUAGCAAGUUGUACUGCUAGAACAUGUUACGUGUUUUUUACACAUAUGUCAUAAUAUGUUUUUCAGAUUCCUGGAAGAAAUCCCAAUGAACAGGGGUCAUUAUCAGGCCACAUUUCUGGUAUCUGUGGUAAGUAAUGAUGUUCACUUUAACCCCAUCACAGACCAUUUGAUCUUCAUAUAUCUAGGUAAGUGAUGUCUGUUUACGUGAACUGUUUAUCAUGUGCUUUUAUAACAGUGAUUUUUGUAAGUAAUGACAGUAUUUCUAGUUCUAGUGACCAUGUUAUAUUGUUUUUAAUUUAGAGAAAACUUAUGGUUUACGCUGUGAGUAUCAAAUGAUUUGCGUGUACACAGAUAACAACGUGGUGUGCUUCAUAGUAGUAACUGUGGUAUCCUUGCAGAUAGGUAGUCAAGAAAAAAUGGUGUGUCCUUCAAGGUUGUAGACCUUGGGAAUACUGCAAAAUUCCAUGUAGAUUUAUGUCUUCUGCAAUGAUGACAGCCAACAAGUUAUUUGCAGGGUUCUGGUGGAAGAGUUGUGUCCACAGACACAUUUGUCAUAAUGUGGUUUCAGGUUCCUCUCAAGGGGUCAUGGGAAACCUCAUCAUGAUCAACAAUGGGACAUUGCUGGUAUCCAAGCCAAUUAUGAUGUGGGCCUUAAACACCCUACAAAAAUGUGAUCUACAGAAAUGUGUCCUGUCAAGAAAUGACCGUCUUACCUGACAGUGGUAUUGAUCUUGCAUUAUUACAAGUAUCCAGGUAGAGUUUAUGUGUUCUGUAAUGAUGGAGUGACGAAGGUUAUUUUCAGAUGUCUUGGUGGAAAUGUUUGUGUCCUUUAACACAUAUUUCACAAUGUGUAUUUCAGGUUUCUGUAGUGAGACCCUGAUAAACCUAACAAUGGUUGGUAUGGCAGACAUUUCUGGUAUGCAGGCAAGUGAUGAUGUGUUCUUUAACCACAUCAUAGACCAUCAGAUCUUCUUAUAUCUUUUUUUUUUUUUUUUUUGACAGAGUCUCGCUUUGUCACCCAGGCUGGAGUGCAGUGGGGUGAUCUCGGCUCACUGCAGCCUCCACCUCCCAGGUUCAAGCGAUUCUCGUGCCUCUGCAUCCUGAAUAGCUGGGAUUACAGGUGUGCACCACCACAUCCUGCUGAUUUUUGUAUUUUGAGAGAUGGGGUUUUGGCACGUUGGCCAAGCUGGUCUCGAACUCCUGGCUUCAAGCAGUCCACCCACCUUGGCCUCCCAAAGUGCUGGAAUUACAGGCGUGCACCACCACGCCCGGCCAGAUCUUCAUAUAUCUAAGAUCCUGUCAAGAAGACAUGGUAAACCUCAUCAUGAUCAAGAAUGAGACUUUGCUUGCAUCCAGGCUUCCCAAAAGUUGUUUGAUAGUAUACAGGCAUGAGAUGGUGUGACUCUAACUCAUUAGAUGCCUUCGUCUUUUCAGUCAUCAUGUGAUGGAAAGAAAGCUAUCAACUUCAUUCCUGAGACUUCCUGCAACACAGAUCCAUCUAAACUUUUACUUCAUUGGAGGGUCCUUCCUGACCCAUGCAACUCAACAAAAAACUCUCACAGUUUUUAUAUGCUUUGUUGGGGAUUAACCCAUCUUGCAUUGCAUUGCUAGCUUAGUAUGUCUAGCAUGGGCAUGCCUGCUGAAGUUUGGAACUUCCCAUCAAGGAAACAGGAAAAUGCCAUUGGCAAUGAGCUGAAGACUGAUUUACUCUACCAGUUUGGAACAUCUGUUAUUGCUGCUACUACGGUUUCUAUCACUGUUUGAUGCUGGGACUCUUAAGCUCCAACCACGUUUUCACCGAGCUGAGUCGCCUUCUUAUCACCCCUUUCUGGAGCAGCAGGACAUCUGGGGAUGAGAAGAUGGAGAGAUCAUCCUUAUAUAAUGUUGCAGUCUGGAAGCAUCACUCUCAAAAAGCCAUUGUAGAGAAUCCAAGCCGAGUUUAAGAGUGCUGUGGAAAUACACUGCUGCUACUGCUGUUUCUAUUACUGUUUGAUGCUGGGACUCUUAUGCUCCAACCACGUUUUCACCCAGCUGAGUCGCCUUCGUAUCACGCCUUUCCAGUUUUGAUAGACUAGAAAAAUGACAAGACUCCAAGUCCUUGAAGAGGAGGAAAAGUGUGAAGAAAACAAAAAAGGGAGAUUUAUGUCUGCUUCACCAUUUUGCCCAAGACUUGACCUGUCAUACACUGAAGCUCAGAGAGGAAGAAAGGACCGUGUGAGAGAAGAAGGGAACAGCCUUUCAUCCAUAGGAGAAGUUCGUCUAUGACAAAGCCACUAGCUCCAUGUGGCCGCUGAGCACUCAAAAUGUGGCCAGUCUGAAUUGAGAUAUGUUGUUAGUAUAAAGUCCACAUCGGCUUUUUGAGCACUUUGUAUGAGAAAAAAGAAUACCAAAUAUCUCCUUAAUAAUUGUUACAUUGAUUAUAUGUUGAACUGAUAACAUUAUGGAUAUAUUGGAUUAAAUAAAAUAAAUUAUUAAAAUCAAAUAAAAAAUAAAAUCAAUUUCACCUGUUU
rnacentral:lncRNA from 1 species